rnacentral:rRNA from 1 species
CCUACGGGUGGCAGCAGUGGGGAAUAUUGCGCAAUGGGCGAAAGCCUGACGCAGCGACGCCGCGUGAGGGAUGAAGGUUCUCGGAUCGUAAACCUCUGUCAGAAGGGAAGAAAUUAUAUCAUGCUAAUCAGUGGUGUAUUGACGGUACCUUCAAAGGAAGCACCGGCUAACUCCGUGCCAGCAGCCGCGGUAAUACGGAGGGUGCGAGCGUUAAUCGGAAUUACUGGGCGUAAAGCGCACGUAGGCUGUAUGACAAGUCAAGGGUGAAAUGCCACGGCUCAACCGUGGAACUGCCUUUGAAACUGUCAAACUGGAGUAUGUGAGAGGGCGGCGGAAUUCCUGGUGUAGGAGUGAAAUCCGUAGAUAUCAGGAGGAACAUCAGUGGCGAAGGCGGCCGCCUGGCACAAAACUGACGCUGAGGUGCGAAAGCGUGGGUAGCAAACAGGAUUAGAUACCCUUGUAGUC